AAGAUUAGAGAUUUGAGUUUAGAGUGCUGUGUGUAGAAAACUUGCACGUGGAAAACACGCAGCCGGGCCGCCACGUGUCCUGAGUGGUAGUGGUGGCGGCAGGCUUCGAGCUUAGGCGUGUGGAGGCUGGUGCUCAUGGCCACGAGCGCUGUGCGCGGCCUGCUUGCUAAACGCCGACAUCCGGCUGGCCAAGCCUGAGCGGCGGCGGGAAAACCAUAUUCCCGGUAUUUGGGGCAGGGAGUUUUACGUUGAGCAAGAGGCCUUUAAUAAGGAGAGUGUCGUUUUGUCGCGCAUCAAAAGGUCAUUUGAAAAUGGGCAGCCCUGACGUUGCCUGAGAUUGAGUUGUAUUGUGCCCAGGUGGCGCUGUGUGCAAACCAGAUUAGUGAUUGGGAAGAUUUUAGUACUGAAAACCUUCAACUGUCAUUCUGUAAGAAUGCUUAGUUUUAAAUAUUUUGGUCCCCUUCAGGAACAAUGGCUCUCAGUGGCAUAACGGAGCUGUUACCUGGAGAUGUUCACGUAAGUACUGUUGAGCUUAGUUUUUAAACUGAAGAAGUAAACCUGUUGAUUUACAGGAAAAGAUGGUGCAUCAUUUGAAAUUUGCUUCCUACUAGAUACAAAGGAAAACUAGAAAAUACGUGAGGGAAUAUUUCCUGGGAAAUUAUUUGGUUGGAACCUGACCAUUUUACCCAGCAUCCUGGGAGUUGAUGAAUACUAACAGACCUACAAAUGUCACUGGCUAGCAAUGUAAUUUUUAAAUGAGGGGUCGCUGUCUUUCCAUUGAAAGAGGCCAGUUUGCUGUGACCUUCCUAAGAUGUAACCCGUUUCUGGUUAAUACCACCAGAUUUACUUGUGAAAAAUCGAUAAGGAAAAGCUCUUCAUUUAGCUGACAUGGGAAGAAAAUCUACAAAUCAAGACAAUAUUUUUUUAUUUCUGUAAACAGGUUAUGAAACCGCAUCAGAUUCAGAUUAAUGUAUUUGUAAGAUUUAAGCCAUUACUUUUUAUGUCAUACUGCCCUAGAGAAUCCUAACCUGUUAAGCAGAUUACUUUGUAGAUCUAUUUCUAUUUUAAAUACAGGCAUGCAAAGGAAGGUACAUAUUUUUAAUGGAGAAGUCUUUGAUUUCAGUUAACCAGACUUGUAAUCAGCUUAUUGUGAAUGUUUCACCUUUGGCCACCUGUUUGAAUUUAAAAUCUACGAUUGUAAUUAAAGCUGAGUGAAAAUUUACACUGAAUAUUGUAGAAAAGUCCUUAGAUUUUUAUGGAGAGAUGAUUCAUUUUGGCAGUAACACACGGUACAGAUCAUGCUGGGUUUUGUAGCGUACUGAAUAUUACUGGAUUAGUGGUGAGCAAAACAGAAAGACUGAGUCUAUUACUGGGAGAGGGGAAAAUACCAGGUAUUACUGGUUCUAAUUACUGAAUUCUGGAAUGUUUGGUCCUAAUAAAUUAUAGUUUGAAAGGAUGCUUAAGAUGGAAAAUGUGAGGGACACCUUGGUGGCUCAGUAAAACAUCUCAGCUCCUCCAUGCUGGGCAUGAAACCUACUUUAAAAAAAAAAGAUGGGAAAAUGUGGAAUGCUGAAAAUGAAGAGCACAGCAUGACAACGGGUCAUGGGGGAAGUUCACUGAUAAAACCAAACAUUGCAUAGAAUGGAUUUAGUGUAGACAGUAAUAGCAUCUGAUCUAACCAAGAUGGUUUGGCCCCAUGCAUGAUCAUUUUCCCUAAAUAGCUACAUGAAUAAAUUGUUGCUAAGCCUAUACUUCAGUGUUAGUCAAAAGAAUAUUCUUGUCAGCUUAUGAUUAUGAACUACCUUUUUUCCUAAAAUGUUUUCUUAGUGAAAAUGCAACGUUGGACCCAUGUAGUUUAAGAGGCUCAGUGACAACCUUGCCAUUUAGUGGCACACCCACAAAGAAGAGGUCACAUGAGCACACAGUGUGAUGGUGACCACCCACAAGCCAAGACAAGAGGCCUCAGAAUGUUGAACUUCCAGCCUCCAGAACUGUGAGAGAAAAUUCAUUUCUAUUGUUUAAGCCACCCAGUCUGUGAUAUUUUGUUAUGGCAGCUCUAACAGACUAAGAAGCAGAGGAUAAAUGGCCACUGCUAUAAUUUUGGGAGUUUAUAUUUAGCUAAAGAAUUAUGAGUAAUAACUAUGAAAAAAGCCCAUGCAAUGUAAUCUCUCUGGCUUUAUACAUUUUCCCUUUAGGUUUCUAUUUAUUACACUGGAACUAAAUCUACAAUGUACUUUCUUAUUGAAUAUUAGCAAACACAGCUGCUAGUCACAAAGCUUCCUCUCUCCACUUGUUUCAUCAU